GCCAUCUGCACGUCGCACCUUGAUGCGCUCACAGGCAGGACCCACCUCCUCCCCGGGGGCGGGGCAGCUCAGGCCGACACUUCAAGCAAAAUCAAAUGCUGCGGAUUCCGGAAGACCUGCAGUGUAAACAAAAACACCCCGCAGCAAAUGAUAUCGAAUUUGGACCAACUGACUGGACAAAUCACUUCCUUUAAAUCAAGCAAAGGACUUGGUGGCCACCUAGAGAAACUGAAUGGAUUCUCACUGAGAGAUUACAAAGAAGUGUACAGCCAACUUACCUCCUUCUUCCUGAUCCUCAUCACUUUUUUCUCCAUCUUCGCUUUCCAAAUUGAGGUCUUCAGGCAAGUCUAAGGCCUCUGUCUCUGGCUGUUUAUCCUGAUUGCCUUGCAACGAGUUCAGACUUCUCCUGUGGAUAGAAAACCAGUUGAAGCAUACGUUACUAAGACAACUUCCAGAUGGAACCGAUCAACUAACCCAAGUGAAGAGCUCCUCCAAAAAAAAACAGAGGCAGCACCACCAGAGCCACAACUAUCUCAAAGGACAAGUGCAACAACCACAUGGGGAACAACGACCAUCUCUAAACACACUAUCCACCGUGAAAAUAUAUUACUGUUGUUUACAAAUUGCUACUUUAAAAUCCUGGAACUUAAGAUCUAAUAGCACAGUGGAAGUACCUUCAACGGCAUUAAAUGCUGACUUUGAUUUAAUAAGAUCACCACAUCUUGAUAACACUGAACUAGAAAUAGUUAGCUUUGAUUUUGUUCAGUUCAAUCGCACCCAAGAUACUCCUUUAAUUCAACAGUGAAAUGACUCAUUACAAUUGCCUGAUCAAAUUCACCAUGCUUAUGUGAUGGAAUUUUCAAAUAUCAAAUAUGACAGACCUGAAUGCUCAACUUUAACAGUGUAGACUGGAGGUGUUCUGAAAUGUUUUUACAUGGAUAAACUGCCUUCAGAAUUUUGCUGUAAUCAAUAAAAUAAUUGCAAUGCCGA